GGGUUGUGAGGUUAAGCGACUAAGCGUACACGGUGGAUGCCCUGGCAGUCAGAGGCGAUGAAGGGCGUGCUAAUCUGCGAUAAGCGCCGGUAAGGUGAUAUGAACCGUUAUAACCGGCGAUACCCGAAUGGGGAAACCCAGUGUGACUCGUCACACUAUCAUUAACUGAAUCCAUAGGUUAAUGAGGCGAACCGGGGGAACUGAAACAUCUAAGUACCCCGAGGAAAAGAAAUCAACCGAGAUUCCCCCAGUAGCGGCGAGCGAACGGGGAGGAGCCCAGAGCCUGAAUCAGCAUGUGUGUUAGUGGAAGCGUCUGGAAAGGCGCGCGAUACAGGGUGACAGCCCCGUACACAAAAGCGCAUGUGCUGUGAGCUCGAUGAGUAGGGCGGGACACGUGGUAUCCUGUCUGAAUAUGGGGGGACCAUCCUCCAAGGCUAAAUACUCCUGACUGACCGAUAGUGAACCAGUACCGUGAGGGAAAGGCGAAAAGAACCCCGGCGAGGGGAGUGAAAAAGAACCUGAAACCGUGUACGUACAAGCAGUGGGAGCNNGUGACUGCGUACCUUUUGUAUAAUGGGUCAGCGACUUAUAUUCUGUAGCAAGGUUAACCGAAUAGGGGAGCCGGAGGGAAACCGAGUCUUAACCGGGCGUUAAGUUGCAGGGUAUAGACCCGAAACCCGGUGAUCUAGCCAUGGGCAGGUUGAAGGUUGGGUAACACUAACUGGAGGACCGAACCGACUAAUGUUGAAAAAUUAGCGGAUGACCUGUGGCUGGGGGUGAAAGGCCAAUCAAACCGGGAGAUAGCUGGUUCUCCCCGAAAGCUAUUUAGGUAGCGCCUCGUGAAUUCAUCUCCGGGGGUAGAGCACUGUUUCGGCUAGGGGGCCAUCCCGGCUUACCAACCCGAUGCAAACUGCGAAUACCGGAGAAUGUUAUCACGGGAGACACACGGCGGGUGCUAACGUCCGUCGUGAAGAGGGAAACAACCCAGACCGCCAGCUAAGGUCCCAAAGUCAUGGUUAAGUGGGAAACGAUGUGGGAAGGCCCAGACAGCCAGGAUGUUGGCUUAGAAGCAGCCAUCAUUUAAAGAAAGCGUAAUAGCUCACUGGUCGAGUCGGCCUGCGCGGAAGAUGUAACGGGGCUAAACCAUGCACCGAAGCUGCGGCAGCGANNGUUGGGUAGGGGAGCGUUCUGUAAGCCUGUGAAGGUGGCCUGUGAGGGUUGCUGGAGGUAUCAGAAGUGCGAAUGCUGACAUAAGUAACGAUAAAGCGGGUGAAAAGCCCGCUCGCCGGAAGACCAAGGGUUCCUGUCCAACGUUAAUCGGGGCAGGGUGAGUCGACCCCUAAGGCGAGGCCGAAAGGCGUAGUCGAUGGGAAACGGGUUAAUAUUCCCGUACUUGGUGUUACUGCGAAGGGGGGACGGAGAAGGCUAUGUUGGCCGGGCGACGGUUGUCCCGGUUUAAGCGUGUAGGUGUGUGUUCCAGGUAAAUCCGGUUCACUUUAACACUGAGGCGUGAUGACGAGGCACUACGGUGCUGAAGUAACAAAUGCCCUGCUUCCAGGAAAAGCCUCUAAGCAUCAGGUAACAUCAAAUCGUACCCCAAACCGACACAGGUGGUCAGGUAGAGAAUACCAAGGCGCUUGAGAGAACUCGGGUGAAGGAACUAGGCAAAAUGGUGCCGUAACUUCGGGAGAAGGCACGCUGACACGUAGGUGAAGUGAUUUACUCAUGGAGCUGAAGUCAGUCGAAGAUACCAGCUGGCUGCAACUGUUUAUUAAAAACACAGCACUGUGCAAACACGAAAGUGGACGUAUACGGUGUGACGCCUGCCCGGUGCCGGAAGGUUAAUUGAUGGGGUCAGCGCAAGCGAAGCUCCUGAUCGAAGCCCCGGUAAACGGCGGCCGUAACUAUAACGGUCCUAAGGUAGCGAAAUUCCUUGUCGGGUAAGUUCCGACCUGCACGAAUGGCGUAAUGAUGGCCAGGCUGUCUCCACCCGAGACUCAGUGAAAUUGAACUCGCUGUGAAGAUGCAGUGUACCCGCGGCAAGACGGAAAGACCCCGUGAACCUUUACUAUAGCUUGACACUGAACAUUGAGCCUUGAUGUGUAGGAUAGGUGGGAGGCUUUGAAGUGUGGACGCCAGUCUGCAUGGAGCCGACCUUGAAAUACCACCCUUUAAUGUUUGAUGUUCUAACGUGGACCCGUGAUCCGGGUUGCGGACAGUGUCUGGUGGGUAGUUUGACUGGGGCGGUCUCCUCCUAAAGAGUAACGGAGGAGCACGAAGGUUGGCUAAUCCUGGUCGGACAUCAGGAGGUUAGUGCAAUGGCAUAAGCCAGCUUGACUGCGAGCGUGACGGCGCGAGCAGGUGCGAAAGCAGGUCAUAGUGAUCCGGUGGUUCUGAAUGGAAGGGCCAUCGCUCAACGGAUAAAAGGUACUCCGGGGAUAACAGGCUGAUACCGCCCAAGAGUUCAUAUCGACGGCGGUGUUUGGCACCUCGAUGUCGGCUCAUCACAUCCUGGGGCUGAAGUAGGUCCCAAGGGUAUGGCUGUUCGCCAUUUAAAGUGGUACGCGAGCUGGGUUUAGAACGUCGUGAGACAGUUCGGUCCCUAUCUGCCGUGGGCGCUGGAGAACUGAGGGGGGCUGCUCCUAGUACGAGAGGACCGGAGUGGACGCAUCACUGGUGUUCGGGUUGUCAUGCCAAUGGCACUGCCCGGUAGCUAAAUGCGGAAGAGAUAAGUGCUGAAAGCAUCUAAGCACGAAACUUGCCCCGAGAUGAGUUCUCCCUGAGACUUAGAGUCUCCUGAAGGAACGUUGAAGACGACGACGUUGAUAGGCCGGGUGUGUAAGCGCAGCGAUGCGUUGAGCUAACCGGUACUAAUGAACCGUGAGGCUUAACC
rnacentral:rRNA from 1 species